rnacentral:rRNA from 1 species
GUCAGCAGCCAUAUCACCCUGCAACUCACAACUGGCAACCCACUGAAGCUCAGCAGGUGUGAACCAGGCCAGUUACCUGAAUGGGAGACCUCCUGGGAAAGCUAAGGUUGCUGCUGGAA